rnacentral:lncRNA from 1 species
UGAUGUGGGAUGAUACAAAUGGUGCUAAGCACCCCUAUUUAUACAAGUGAAGGAGCAAACUCUAAUAUGUUCUAGAUUUCUCUAAAUUAUUAUCUUAUUUCAAAAUAUCUAACAUUAAUUAUUCUACUCCAUAACUUUCUCUCUUCUUCUCCAUAAUUCUAGAUAAUUUUUCAUCCUUGUGCUCUUCUUUUGGGCUCUUAAUAUGGAUCAUGAUUUUUGGGUUUUAGGCUAAU